rnacentral:tRNA from 6 species
GCGCCUAUAGCUCAGUUGGUAGAGCAACGUCCUUUUAAGUCGUGGGUCGCAGGUUCGAGCCCUGCUGGGCGCA